GGAUAAUUUGGUUGUAUGAAACUACUUGUCCUGGGAUUUUGGCAUAUAUAUCAUUAUCCUUUUGAAGUCGUGGCGCUCAAUUCACUUUUAAAAUUUGUGUCUAACAACGGCUACGUUUGAUUGAAUGUGUUAAUUGGUUUGGUGGAAGUUAUUUGAAUUAAUUCUUUUCAUGGCAUAUAUAUAUAUAUAGGCAUGUUUCUCUUUUUUUUACUCGGUGAAUUAUUGGACAAUGGUGCGACAUUUGUGACUGCCUCUUUGGCUUGAAGUUACAUUUUGGAUAUAUGAUUUUUAUUGUACAUAAUUUGAAUUUUAUUAAAAAUGGAGAUGCAUUGAACACGGACUUUUAAUUUGAAUUUCAUGUACUUUUGUAUAUUUAUAGCUUGAUAAUCAACUAAAUCUUUCUCCUACAUGUUAUAGAUGGAAUGUGCUGUCUGACUUAGUUAUGAAUUAAGGCUGCUUUCAACCCGAUAAAAUAUUAGUUUCACCCGGUGCUGCUAUGAAAAAUCAAAAAAAAUCUGGAUUUAUAUUAAUAGUAGUUUAUUAACGUUAAUGUGUAAAAUUAGUAAGCGGGAAGAAAAAAUCACUAAUACUGCCAAAAUUUAAGUGAAAAUUAGAUACCCGCCAAAACAUAAUUUUUUUUUCCGAUAGCACAUUAUGAUAGCAUUGUUUCGAGAGCUGCUAUGAAAAAUCAAUUUCUAAUCUUUUAAAUUCUAAACUCUAAAAAUGUAUAAACCCUAAACUUUAAACAUAAACCUUAAAAACUUUAAUCUUUUCAUACCAAAAACCUGAAAUCAUCAACUUAAACUCAAAGUUAUUCCUUUUAAUCUUAAUCUUUAACUUCCAAACAUAAACCUUAAAUCUUUUUAUCAAGCUCUAUACCCUAAACUCUGUACACAAACCUUAUACUCUAAAUUAUAAUUAUAAAUACUAACAUAUUGUAUUCAACACUCCUACUCUUCAUACGUUAGCUCCAAAUCUUAAAUUAAAUUUUAGUUAUUUUCAAAAUUUAUUCUCAAAAUCUGAAAUUAACCCUUAACAUUACACUUCAAACCCUAAACUCUACAUCUCUAAAUAAUAGUUCAACAUUUCAAACUUAAACACCAAAUCUUAAUAUAAGCUAUCAAUUUAUCAUUUUGAAAAAUUAAACUCAAAUCUUACACUAACUCUCAUAAAUUAAACUUCAAAUAUCUAUUAUUCUCUAUUUAAAUCUAAAAUCUUAAAAUUGUAUGCCCAAUUUUUAAAAUUUUAUAACUUAAAAUCAAAAUUAUGAACUACAAAGUAUAAAUUUUGUAUAAAACAUAACUUAAAAUAAUUACAAACAAAAAAAUAAACAAAUAAAGAAAGACAAAACAAAAGAAAAUAAAAAAGAAAGAUAAUAUACUUUUGGCCAAUCAGAUCUAUGUACAAGGAUCACCUUCUCAGCUGUUGGAUUACAUUAAAUCAAAGGCUGAGAUUUAUUUAUUUAUUUUCCUCUCUGGCUUCUCUCUCUCGAUAGAUUCAUUCUCCUUUUUUUUCUUUUCUGUUUCUUCUUUUCAUCUUCUUCACUCUCAUCUCUCCCAUCUUCUUUCACUCUCAUCUCUCCCAUCUCUGUACGCUUGAAAGCUCACCAACUCUCUCAUGUCUCACUUUUCAGAUCUGGUUAACUAAGACAGGAUGAAGAUGAUGAUGGAGACGACGAAGAAGGAGACUCGCGGGGACGAAGCGCCGAGGCUCACCGGAGAAGAAGAUGCGUCGGAGUCUCUCUCUCUCUCUCUCUGUUUUAAUCUAAUUAUGAUUUCGUUUUUUGUUUUUUCUUGUAAACAGAGGUAGAUGAGGCAGAAGAAAGUGAUGUUUGGUCACCGCCGCCGAGCCAAAGCGACUCAAGCCAUUUUGCUUCCCGGAAUGGCCUAACCCCGCCGGAUCUAAAUCUGAAUGCUCCGGUGGAGUUUGGAAGAGGGAUAAGACUAUUCGAUGGAACUGCUAAUGCAUGUUAGGAGAUGAAUCGAGAACGAAACGUCACCGGAGUAACCGACAUAGACGCAACCAUCGGUCACGAAGACGAUGCCUAAUGGGCCAACCUUGUGACGUAUGAAGCCCAAAUAGAAAUAUCUCUUGCUUGUGAGCCCACCUGAAACAACAACGAAAGCGUAAAAAAAUAGAAAGAGGACAGGUGUCGGCCUGUCAGUCAUCGACUUUCCACGUGGCAUCACAGGAGUGUCACCAACAUUUUUAUAUAUAUAUAGAUAUAUUCUCGGUUAUAUAACAUUACAUUUGAAAGUCUUAUUUGAAGAUAUUUUUAUCUCUAAAAUGUAUUUAUGAUUUGCUUUUCAGAAGAUUUUUUCAUCGCA